rnacentral:rRNA from 1 species
AGUGAACGCUGGCGGUAGGCCUAACACAUGCAAGUCGAACGGCAGCACAGUAAGAGCUUGCUCUUACGGGUGGCGAGUGGCGGACGGGUGAGGAAUACAUCGGAAUCUACUUUUUCGUGGGGGAUAACGUAGGGAAACUUACGCUAAUACCGCAUACGACCUACGGGUGAAAGCAGGGGAUCUUCGGACCUUGCGCGAUUGAGUGAGCCGAUGUCGGAUUAGCUAGUUGGCGGGGUAAAGGCCCACCAAGGCGACGAUCCGUAGCUGGUCUGAGAGGAUGAUCAGCCACACUGGAACUGAGACACGGUCCAGACUCCUACGGGAGGCAGCAGUGGGGAAUAUUGGACAAUGGGCGCAAGCCUGAUCCAGCCAUACCGCGUGGGUGAAGAAGGCCUUCGAGUUGUAAAGCCCUUUUGUUGGGAAAGAAAAGCAGCAGGUUAAUACCCCGCUGUUCUGACGGUACCCAAAGAAUAAGCACCAGCUAACUUCGUG